UGCAGAGGGUGAGUGAGAAGGUUGGGGGAGCAGAGGGGACUAAACAUGAUGAUGACUUCACUGAAAUGGAGAAGAAGGUGGACACCACCAGUAGGGCGGUGAUGGACAUUAUGACCAAGACCACUGAGUAUCUGCAGCCCAACCCAGCCUCCAGAGCCAAGAUGACCAUGAUCAACUCCAUGUCUAAGAUGCGUGGCCAGGAGAAGGGUCUGGGCUACAUCCAGACCGAGACCGUCCUGGGAGAGUCCAUGCAGAAGUUUGGCAGGGAGCUCGGGGAAGAGUCCAACUUUGGCCUGGCUCUGAUCGAUGCUGGGGAGUCCAUGCGUGAGCUGGGGGAGGUGAAGGACGCUCUCGACAUGGAGGUCAAGCAGAACUUCCUGGACCCGCUGCAGACCCUCCACGACAAAGACCUCAAGGAGAUUGCACAUCACCUGAAGAAACUGGAAGGCCGCCGUCUGGACUUCGACUACAAGAAGAAGCGUCAGGGCAAGGUGACAGACGACGAGAUCAAACAGGCUCUGGAGAAGUUUGACGAUACCAAGGAGAUCGCUGAGCUCAGCAUGUUCAACCUGUUGGAGAGUGAUCAGAUUGAACAGGUGAGCCAGCUAGCCGCACUGGUCCAAGCCCAGGUGGAGUACCAUCGUCAGUGUGCUGAGAUCCUCACCCAGCUGCAGUCCAAGAUGGAGGACCGGAUAAGGGAUUCCUCCAACAAGCCCAAGAAAGAGUUCAUACCUAAGCCGCGUCAGUCCUUGGACCUCUCUAGUGAAAACCACAAUGGAGCCAUCCAAGGAUCCAGGUCCCCAGCAACAAGGUCUCCAGGUGAGCUAAGUCAUCUGUCUGUCCGUCUGUCCAUCUAUCUGGCUGGCUGGCUGAUCAUCUUAUCUUCAUAUCUCUUCAUUUCUCAAUCUCGUCAUCUCUCCAUAGUUUCAUUUCCCCAUCUCUCCAUCCAUCCACUUCCAAAUGCUAUAAAUCACAAAUGUAUUUGUUCUACCUGUGUGGCUUGCUUUGCGUUUGGAUUUCUCUCCUCUUUGCAGCAAGGUCUCCAGGUAAACCAAGAGUGAACCCUAGAGAGAUACCAUAAUAUCACUCUGUCUAUUUCUAUCACUGUCUUUCUAUCUGUCCGUCCGUCCGUCUCCGUCCAUCUGUUUGGUGAUUGUCCAAGCCAUCUGUUCACUGCCAUAACCCACCCAUCCAUCCAUUUAAACAACUAUGUCAAUUGCAGUUAAACAUAAAUACCUCUUCUCUUUCUCCCACAUUUGCUCUCUCUCUUUCUUCCUCUUUGCAGCAAGGUCUCCAGGUGAGCCUAGAGUGAAUUCUGGAGAGAUACGACAGAAUAUCUCUACUUUAUCACUCUGUCUCUGUGUCCAUAUGAACGGUCUGUCUCUUGCUCUUUCUUGGACUGUCUUUCUGGCUCCAGUCUGUUUCCUGAUUUCUCUCCUGUCUCUCUCUCUCUCUGUUUGUAUUCCAAGGUUUUGUUGUCAGUAUUCCGGUCUUUGUUUCUCUCUAUCUGCCUUUCUGUCUGUGCGUUUGUCUUUUCGAUUUGUUUAUCAAUCAAUCGACAACACAAAGCAACAUUUGUACGUCUUUCUCUCCUCUGAUUGGCCUUGUCUCCCUUUGUCUGUCUUUCUGUCUGUUAGUGUUACACGAUAUACCGAAACUUCAAUACUUUAUCCAUACUAGAACAUGAAAAACGGUUCGAUAUUUGCAUAGAAGUGGCUUCUUUAAUAAAAUGUGCUCUCUCUCUUUAACCAGUAAUGAUGUCAUUCACGAGGCAAAAAAAAACAAAGUCAAAUUGAUUGUAUAAUUGAUCCAUUAUUGGAUACAUAGCUGUCUCUGAAAAUUGUUAACAUAAUUAAAAAAGUUAGAAUGUAAUGAUAUUGAACUCAAAAGAUGCCCAACAAUUGAACAGAUCAGUAGCUACGUUUAUCUGUCUGGAUCAAGUGCCAUUCUGUGGCUUUGGCUAAUAUGCCUUCUUUUUUUGCCAUGGUAUCAUUUUGAUAUCGAGUAUUGUGAUGGUAUUGAGUUUUCAUGAUACAGUACUAAACCUGGUAUCGAUGUCAAAAUUCUGGUAUCGUGACGACACCACUGUCUGUUCAAUAUGUCUAUCAAUCGAUCACCUUAAUACACAUUCAUUUUUAUGCAUUCCUCUCUUCUUUACCUUGUCUCCCCCUCCCUCUCUUUCUUCCUCCUCCGUCUGUCCUCCAUCCCCCCUUUCAGCAAGGUCUCCAGCUCCCCUAGACCAGCCAUCCUGCAGGGCGCUGUAUGACUUCGACCCCGAGAACGAGGGCGAGCUGGGCUUCAAGGAGGGGGACAUCAUCACUCUCACCAACAAGAUCGACGACAACUGGUACGAGGGCAUGAUCCACGGCAGCUCUGGAUUCUUCCCCGUCAACUACGUGGAUAUCCUGGUGCCUCUGCCCUAAAGUCUUUGCCACGGCAACAGCAAAUCAGCAACAGCAGUUUUCCCAGGCGACAAAUCUUAAUCCCUGCAUCCCCAGCUCCCGCCACCCCCAAACAUUCCCAGAAACCCUCCUUUUCACUCCGCUAAAAAGGAGAUCUAACUACAAUGAAGAUAUGACAACGAAAUCGGCUGUGGCGAGAUCAACAACAGCAUGGUGUCACGCCAACGAGUGCUAAUGAAACAGACUUUUGAAAAAAAAAUACGAAAAAUAAGCAAUGAUGACAUUUUGAAUGCCAUCGUGGACAUUUACCAUCAAACCAAUAAAAUGCUAUGGUUGUUUUUUCUUGUUUCCAAAAAGAGUGUUUCUCGGUUUUGUCCUCAAGUUUUUUUUCCUUCAGGAGCUUCUACAGUUCCUCAAUCCUCGUCUUUCCUGGCUUCAUCUAGGUUUACAUUGGCUGUGUGUCUUUCAAAAUGGCCGUUACUAUCCUUCUCUGUACUCUGUGGAAACUUCUAGACUAGCAUAAUUUCAUCAUCGUCACAUAUUGUAGGCUACUAUUUCUGGGCGGUUAUCUGGUCCGUUAGAUCACGUUUAGGUCAUGUUUCACACUUUGUUAGACACUGUAGGUCAGGCAUGUUUUAGUGUUUUAUCUUAUCAGAUUUACUUCUUCUAAGUACGUUCAAGCUAAAUAUAUGUUUUUCCCGUUUGAAAAGGGUAGCCUUCUGUUUGCAUGCAUGGAUUGUUUCCUAGAGAGACCGUGUCCAUUUCAUGCUAAACAACAGAUGUAUGUUUAUGACGGAGGGGAUAUCGUUUGAUGUGUCUUUUCAUACAGACCUAAACUGAGAGUGAGGUAUGUAAGGAUUCAGUGUGGUUUAAUCAAGGCACCAUAGUUAGACCAAACUGGCCACCUAUGCAGGAGGGUAGGCCUACAGCAGGGCUGAGUGGUGUCAAUGGCAGAUCUACUCGCUUUUCUAACCGAGGGUGUAGUUCGUUUGCGAUCUACAUUGUUUUGUUGGCAUUCUAUAUCACACAAGUCCUCUGUGUGAUUUAGGUAUGCCUCAUGAUUACAUCUAGUGUAUUUGAGUCAAUGGUUAUAAAUUGGCGAUGAAUAUUUACGGAAACAAAAGACUAAAUUGUGUAGUUCAAUUGUUUUCUAAGUGGCGUAUAAGCAAAAACUGGAACUGUUUCCAUAAUAUGAAAUAAUGUUUAAAAAAUCUUCUCAGUGUGUAUUUUACCAAUGACGUGGAAAUAUUUGUGAAAAUGGUUGCUGUAUUGUGCUAUUUCAUAUAGGAGUUUACCGCUUAUCGGAUUUAGCCUUAUUUUCUUCAACCGUUGGCGAAGUUGUUUUCACUGUAUCAGAAUGUCCUUUAGUCAGAUAAACAAAUAACACUAUAUUGAAGACUAUACGUCAUGGAAUCUGAUAGGACUAGCUUUAGCUGAUCAUGCUCACAGACAAAUACUGCAUUACGAGGCCAAUAGAAUACACAAGCAAUGCUGUCUCAAUCAGAAAAGGGAACAUUUUAUAAAAAGUGAACACGGUACCAUAUUUAAUUCAAGGAUACUAACAUCAAUAACCAGAUGCAAAUCCCCCUACCCCUCUUUGUAUCUUACACUUUGUCUAAAUGUUGUCAGGCAAUCUAGGCAACUUCUCUCUGUCAGGAGUCUCGGUCUGAAAUAACCCAUUCAUACGGUAUGUGUUGCUCUUACUGGUCCAUACUGUAUUUCUGUUUACUGAAGGUUCUGGGGAUCCUUAGUCCCUGUCCCUUGUUGAUUGUCUUUCCCUUGUCAUAUCCCAGGAAUGAAUGGCCGCACAUUUAACAAUACACAAUAUAAGGUACCAAAGCAACAGACUGUUGCAUAUAACAAUAAUCAUCAUUUGGUGGGAACAAGUGUGUAUUAAAAUGCAUGUGUGAGUUGGAAAUGUGUUUUUUGCAUAUCCCACUCUCCCUGAAACGCCCUGGGAGAGUGGGGUCACGGCCAGAGUCUACUAAAGCAAUUGGAUACUACUGUACACUCCAAACUCUGGCCUCUGGAUCUAUCUAGGUUUUCUCCAGCAUUUUGAGGACUUCAUUCUCAAUGGUUUUCCCUUCUGCAAAUCCAAUGUGAAACUGUAUGUGUGUAACAGACAGGGCAAUAAGUGUUUCACCCAUUUAUCAUUGUUGUGUGACUGGGUGGGUGUGGUUUGGUUGUGCCGAGGUUGGUAUGUGUUUUGUGAAGGGAGAAGGGGUUGUAUGCGCCACAGGUGGUUUGGUCUACUGUGGUUUGUAUCUAUGAAGUGUACAUUUUCUAUUUUUUCUGUCAGUAUUAUUUUUCCUUCAUUGAAAUCCUCCUGGAUGUCUAUUUGAUAAAGGACCGAUACAGUAUAGCGCAAUGAUACUAUUGAUGAAGCUGAACCGACCGAAAACCCAUCUAUAGCGUUCAUUUUUUUUUAAAGGGAAGCGCAACUUGAAACGGUCUCGUUUGUUGGCAGAAUAAGCAGAUUCAGAUUGGAACUGGCUGUGCGUUCAAGUUUUUUAAAAGGCUAUAUAUUUCCUUCAUUUUCUUUUCUCUAUCUUUUUUUAAACAAUUAUCGUGUGUAUCUUUGCCCUCAAUGAGGACUGUACAGCUUUUCAGUGAUUUGUUUUCACCGUGUGUGUGUGUGUGUGUGUGUGUGUAGUAGCGCAUCUACGGUAUCGUAUUUUAUUUUUGUAACUGUGAUAAAGUAUAUGCAUAUAUAUACAGUAAUUAUAUAGAACUAUUGUGAUUCGAGGGAUUGUUUGUGCUGCACACAAUUGUCGUUUUUGGAUUCUUUGUUUGUUUUGGUUUCAUCCCUUGCACCGGAUUACAAGACAAUAUGCUUGAUGUUAAAAAUGACUAAAAUAUCUCAAUGUAAUUUAUUCAAAUAAACAACAAGGUUAGAGUUG